GCUCCCGUAGGAGUCCGGACGAAGUCUACCUGCAAUUGAAGUCAGGGAUGGAGUCCAGCUCCCGUAGGAGUCCAGGUGAAGUCUUCUUACAGUCGGAGUCGAGGAUGAAGUCCAACUCCCGUAGGAGUCCGGACGAAGUGUACCUGCAAUUGAAGUCGGGGAUGAAGUCCAGUUCCCGUAGGAGUCUGGGCGAAGUCUUCUUGCAACC
rnacentral:lncRNA from 1 species